rnacentral:rRNA from 1 species
GAUGAACGCUGGCGGCGUGCCUAACACAUGCAAGUCGAGCGAUUUACUUCGGUAAAGAGCGGCGGACGGGUGAGUAACGCGUGGGUAACCUGCCCUGUACACACGGAUAACAUACCGAAAGGUAUGCUAAUACGAGAUAAUAUACUUUUAUCGCAUGGUAGAAGUAUCAAAGCUUUUGCGGUACAGGAUGGACCCGCGUCUGAUUAGCUAGUUGGUAAGGUAACGGCUUACCAAGGCGACGAUCAGUAGCCGACCUGAGAGGGUGAUCGGCCACAUUGGAACUGAGACACGGUCCAAACUCCUACGGGAGGCGGCAGUGGGGAAUAUUGCACAAUGGGCGAAAGCCUGAUGCAGCAACGCCGCGUGAGCGAUGAAGGCCUUCGGGUCGUAAAGCUCUGUCCUCAAGGAAGAUAAUGACGGUACUUGAGGAGGAAGCCCCGGCUAACUACGUGCCAGCCGCCGCCGUAAUAC